rnacentral:lncRNA from 10 species
UCUUGAACUCCUGGGCUCAGGUGAUGCUCCUAUCUCAGGCUCCCAAGGUGUUGGGAUGACAGGCAUGAGCCAUCGUGCCCAGCCCACACCACACUUUUGAAACAUAGUUGCUCUUAAGAAGCUGAAAUUCAGCGUGAGCCACCAUGCCCGGCCAAAAGCAGAGAUUGGAGUAGAUAUCUGUACACCAAUGUUUAUAGCAGCAUUAUUCACAAUAGCCAAAAGUGGAGGCAACCUGAUGUUAUCAGCUGAUGAAUGAAUAAGCAAAAUGCAGUCUAUCCACACAAUAGAAGAUGAUCCAGCCUUAAAAAGGAGGGAGUCCUGACACCUGUUAACAACAUGCAUGAACCUUGAGGAUACUAUGCUAAAUGAAAUGAGGCAGACACAAAUGCAUAAAUACUGUAGGAUUCCACUCAUAUGAGGGUCCUGGAGUAGUCAGACUCAUAGAGACAGAAGUGGAAUGGUGGGUGCC